rnacentral:rRNA from 1 species
AAUGAACGCUGGCGGCGUGCUUUACACAUGCAAGUCGAGCGAGGCGGGUAGCAAUACCCAGUCGAGCGGCGAACGGGUGAGUAACGCGUGGAUUAUCUGCCCUAAGGUGGGGGAUAACCCGGGGAAACUCGGGCUAAUACCGCAUAUGACCGGGAGGUCAAAGGGGGCCGCAAGGCUCUCGCCUUUGGAGGAGUCCGCGUUCGAUUAGCUAGUUGGUAGGGUAAUGGCCUACCAAGGCGACGAUCGAUAGCCGGCCUGAGAGGGUGAUCGGCCACACUGGAACUGAGACACUGUCCAGACUCCUACGGGAGGCUGCAGUCGAGAAUCUUGGUCAAUGCACGAAAGUGUGAACCAGCGACGCCGCGUGAAGGAUGAAGGACCUCUGGUUCGUAAACUUC